UACAGAGGUGGCAAGCGUUGUUCGGAAUUACUGGGCGUAAAGGGCGCGUAGGCGGCUUUUUAAGUCAGACGUGAAAUCCCCCGGCUUAACCUGGGAACUGCGUCUGAUACUGGGAAGCUUGAGUUCGGGAGAGGGAUGUAGAAUUCCAGGUGUAGCGGUGAAAUGCGCAGAUAUCAGGAGGAACACCGGUGGCGAAGGCGGGUCUCUGGGCCACUACUGACGCUGAGAAGCGAAAGCAUGGGGAGCGAACAGG
rnacentral:rRNA from 1 species